rnacentral:rRNA from 1 species
UGGGGAAUUUUGGACAAUGGGCGAAAGCCUGAUCCAGCAAUGCCGCGUGUGUGAAGAAGGCCUUCGGGUUGUAAAGCACUUUUGUCCGGAAAGAAAUCCUUGGCUCUAAUACAGUCGGGGGAUGACGGUACCGGAAGAAUAAGCACCGGCUAACUACGUGCCAGCAGCCGCGGUAAUACGUAGGGUGCAAGCGUUAAUCGGAAUUACUGGGCGUAAAGCGUGCGCAGGCGGUUUGCUAAGACCGAUGUGAAAUCCCCGGGCUCAACCUGGGAACUGCAUUGGUGACUGGCAGGCUAGAGUAUGGCAGAGGGGGGUAGAAUUCCACGUGUAGCAGUGAAAUGCGUAGAGAUGUGGAGGAAUACCGAUGGCGAAGGCAGCCCCCUGGGCCAAUACUGACGCUCAUGCACGAAAGCGUGGGGGAGCAAACAGGAUUAGAUACCCUGGUAGUCCACGCCCUAAACGAUGUCAACUAGUUGUUGGGGAUUCAUUCCUUAGUAACGUAGCUAACGCGUGAAGUUGACCGCCUGGGGAGUACGGUCGCAAGAUUAAAACUCAAAUGAAUUG